rnacentral:rRNA from 1 species
AUUGAACGCUGGCGGCAGGCCUAACACAUGCAAGUCGAACGGUAGCACAGAGAGCUUGCUCUCGGGUGACGAGUGGCGGACGGGUGAGUAACGUCUGGGAAACUGCCCGAUGGAGGGGGAUAACUACUGGAAACGGUAGCUAAUACCGCAUAACGUCGCAAGAACAAAGUUGGGGACCUUCGGGCCUCACACCAUCGGAUGUGCCCAGAUGGGGUUAGCUAGUAGGUGGGGUAAUGGCUCACCUAGGCGACGAUCCCUAGCUGGUCUGAGAGGAUGACCAGCCACACUGGAACUGAGACACGGUCCAGACUCCUACGGGAGGCAGCAGUGGGGAAUAUUGCACAAUGGGCGCAAGCCUGAUGCAGCCAUGCCGCGUGUAUGAAGAAGGCCUUCGGGUUGUAAAGUACUUUCAGCGGGGAGGAAGGCGGUGAAGUUAAUAACUUCACCGAUUGACGUUACCCGCAGAAGAAGCACCGGCUAACUCCGUGCCAGCCGCCGCCGUAA